UACGUAGGGGGCUAGCGUUGUCCGGAAUCAUUGGGCGUAAAGCGCGCGUAGGCGGCCAGAUAAGUCCGGUGUGAAAGCCACAGGCUCAACCUGUGAAUGCCGCUGGAAACUGUCUGGCUAGAGUCCGGGAGGGGCGAGUGGAAUUCCUGGUGUAGCGGUGGAAUGCGCAGAUAUCAGGAGGAACACCAAUAGCGAAGGCAGCUCGCUGGGACGGUACUGACGCUAAGGCGCGAAAGCGUGGGGAGCGAACAGG
rnacentral:rRNA from 1 species